ACCCACUCACUGGUGAGCUCCGCAAGAGUGUACUUCUCUCCGUCCCUGGAGCGCCACGGCGUGCUGGUGCAUAGUAAGCAUCUGUCCAUGUCUGUCCAGUUGAAUUUCUUGAGAGUCAUUUGACCUUCUCAGCAGCUCUGGAGAACCCACAUUGACCAGAGACUUUGCAGCCAGCUCACCCCUCCAAAUCCCCGCCCUGGAGUCCCUGACCCAGGAAUUUCUGCAUCAGGCUGCUCAAACCUGAAUUUGACAAAAUUUCAAAGCGCUGUAUCUUUAUGUUGAUAAGACAACGGAUAAAGUGCCAUACUUGGAACCUAGAUCACUCAAUGUUGCCUGUAGCUGAGUCCACUUCUGUCACUCACCCUGCAUUGCCCUGCCAGGAGCAAGGGAGAGAAAGCCAGCCAGAAGGCAUGGGCAUGGGCUCAAAUCUGGCUUCUCCUGUGGCCACUGUGAAAGUUGAUCAUACAAAGGUCACUGUUGUCAUAGCCAAGCAGAGUUAUGAGACCACAGGAAAAAGCACUUGGACCACGUAACAUUGCUCCAAGAGUAUAACUGUCUCCAACCCUGGCUGCUGGAACAAGUGUUGCAACCUGAAACCGGUUUGAUCUAAUAGCUACAGAAACAACCUGCGGAAAUCUAAGACUAGUUUCACCCACUCACCAAUCAGAGCUUGCCGGAUCCCCAAAACGUUGCUAGUGCUAAUGAACUUGCUUUCCUAACAAUCCAUAACAUUUCUCAUUUUUAUGAAACCUACAACCUUCUCUUUGCUCUUUGGACAUACUGAAGACCACCCAGUCUGUGUGUAUGCCCCAAACUGAAAUUCUUGCUCCCCAAAUAAAACAUUUUAAACUUAGAGAUUUGUCUGUAUAUUUUAUUUGACUUUGACAGCACCAGGGGCUCCGGCACAAAUCUCCUCCUUCAAGCCCUUUUCUACACAGUCCCGUGGGUCUACCCUGAAAGAAGCCUGAUGACGGCUCAAAGACACAAUGUUACUGGGAGGUAAAUUCAGGAUUACUUGACCGAAUGGCCCACCCGAGGUCACGGAGGCUGCUGGAGGAACAGAAAAUGGUCUUCACCAAGUGAAGCAUUGUCGGUCUUGGCCUGUGUCUGGCUGGAGAAUGUUAAAAUUCUGGGGACACAACAGAAAAGGCACAGUUGUGGGGACCAGGCCAAUGUCAGCGUGAGAACUGGCUCCAUCCCCCUCCCAUGAACCAGCUCUGCGGCCAAGGCAGGUCUGCAUUUCCUGGUCUGUGACACGGAGUCAGUAACAUUGCCUACUUCCCGGGGCUAUUUCCAGAGAAGUGAGGGAAUGGGUGUGGAACGCCUGCCAUCUGCGGAGCCCCGCAUGAAACGUCUCUGUCUUUCCAGCCAGCCCUGAGCCAGGGAAGGGACUGGAAGCACAGCGGGUGGCUGAGGCGGGCUUUCGGCAGCUUACCCCCAGCCUUGCCCCUCCCCGCCUGCUGAAACACAAUCUAUGGUUGUCGCCUUCCUGGAGAUGUUAGCCGCCCCCUCCAGAGGUGGUUCCAAAUCUAUUUCUCAUUUGGCUGAUUUAGGAGAGGCUGCGAAUCGGUCGCUAUGGUUUCUUUAUUUUCUCCUGACAGCUUAGGAAUCAUUUUUCCAAUUAUUCCCAGGGGAGGAAAAAGAAGUGGAGGAAGCCAGUGUUUGGAAUGAGGGGAAGCUCACGGAUCUGAAAUGCAACCUCUUCUGCAGGAGACCCGGCACAGCUACCGGGACCCAUCACCUCCCUGUAGGAACCCCGCCCAGCCCCCUCCAGCCAGCCCUGCGUGGUUGUGGCCCCACUGCAGAAACGCCUCCGCUUAACACUCCAGCCUCUCUUCUAUUCGGUCAGGCCACAGCUGCUGACUUUGUGCCUGCUGUAGCAACCCCGAGCCCCCAAAUAAACCCUCCCUCCCAGGGUGGCCUCUCUACGGGGGGAGACAGACGGUG
rnacentral:lncRNA from 10 species